UACGGGGGGGGGCAAGCGUUGUUCGGAAUUACUGGGCGUAAAGGGCGCGUAGGCGGUUCGCUAAGUUGAAUGUGAAAACUCUGGGCUUAACCCAGAGCCUGCAUUCAAUACUGGCGGGCUAGAGUUCUGGAGGGGAUAGCGGAAUUCCUGGUGUAGCGGUGAAAUGCGUAGAUAUCAGGAGGAACACCGGUGGCGAAGGCGGCUAUCUGGACAGAGUCUGACGCUGAGGCGCGAAAGCGUGGGGAGCGAACAGG
rnacentral:rRNA from 1 species